rnacentral:misc_RNA from 1 species
UCACCCCUCAAGCCUUGUGCUUGGUGUUGGACGGCCUGGUCAGGCGACUGACCCCUCCGAAAGACAAUGACGGCGGCCUGUUGGAACCCCCGGUACACCGAGCUUCUAAUCGAGCACGUAUCGGAUAAGGGCGCCCAGGCCCCGGUCUUCUCCUUUUACUAGGAAAGUUUUUAUGA